ACUUUUUUCAUCAUACAGAACUGAAUUUACUGAACUUUAACCCCAUUAAAGUGUUGGAUUAUGGAGCUGAUGAUAGCUAAAUGCUGCAUUCUUAUACUGAUGCUAACACAAGAUAUUAUAAAUGCUGAGAUCAGACUUGAGCAGUCUUCUGCUGUGGUGAAGAAACCUGGAGAAACUGUGAAGAUCUCCUGUAUAAUAAGUGGAUACAGCAUGACCAGCAACUACCUGCACUGGAUACGACAGAAACCAGGACAAGCUCUGGAGUGGAUUGGUCGGAUGAACACUGGUAGAAAUUCAGCAGAUUAUGCAGAUUCCAUGAAAGAUCACUUCAUACUGACUGAGGACGUUUCCUCAAGCACACAGUUCUUACAGUCCAAGAGUCUGAGAGCAGAAGAUACUGCUGUUUAUUACUGCGCUCGACAAGACCACAGUGACUAAAACUGAUAAAGCAGCUGUACAAA